UUUUUGUAAUUAAUAUAAAGUCUAAUCUGCCCCCUGAUAAUUUAUUAAAGGGCUGCAGUAUUUUGACUGUACAAAGGUAGCAUAAUCAUUUGUCUCUUAAUUGGUGACUUGUAUGAAAGAUUGAAUGAAAUAUAAGCUGUCUCUUUAUAAAAAAUAAAAUUUAAUUUUUUAGUAAAAAAGCUAAAAUAAUUUUAAAAGACGAGAAGACCCUAUAGAGUUUAAUAGUUUUUUUUAUAUAAAUAAAAUGUAAAAAUUUAAAUUUAAAUUAAAAUAAUUAUUUUGUUGGGGUGAUAGAAAAAUUAAAUUAACUUUUUUUAAAAAUAAACAUAAAUAAGUGAUUAAAUGAUCCAUUAGUAAUGAUUAUAAGAAAAAAUUACCUUAGGGAUAACAGCGUAAUUUUUUUUUUUAGGCCAAAUAAAAAAAAGAGUUUGCGACCUCGAUGUUGGAUUAAGAUAAAAUUUAAAUGUAAAAGUUUAAAGUUUUGAUCUGUUCGAUCAUUAAAA
rnacentral:rRNA from 1 species